AAAAGAACAUAAGAAUUGUAAGAAGGAGGCUGAAUUUCAAGUAGAGGCCCUCUCAUGUAACAAGAAAUGGUCAUUAAAGACUUCUGUUGAAGAGCAGAAUUGGGUGUUCAGUAAGUCUUACAGUGAAAAAGAAGUGACCUUCUCUGUUACAAGUGAAUUGAACAGGAUCUUGAGAAAGGGCAGACUUCCAGAAAUACCCUUGCAGUGACAGUGCACCUGUAUAGAAUUAUGC
rnacentral:lncRNA from 1 species